rnacentral:rRNA from 1 species
GUUUGAUCAUGGCUCAGAACGAACGCUGGCGGCAGGCCUAACACAUGCAAGUCGAACGGGCGUAGCAAUACGUCAGUGGCGGACGGGUGAGUAACACGUGGGAAUAUGCCUUUCGGUUCGGAACAACUCGGGGAAACUCGUGCUAAUUCCGGAUACGCCCUUACGGGGAAAGAUUUAUCGCCGAAAGAUUAGCCCGCGUCCGAUUAGCUAGUUGGUGAGGUAAAGGCUCACCAAGGCACCGAUCGGUAGCUGGUUUGAGAGAACGACCAGCCACACUGGGACUGAGACACGGCCCAGACUCCUACGGGAGGCAGCAGUGGGGAAUCUUGGACAAUGGGCGCAAGCCUGAUCCAGCCAUGCCGCGUGAGUGAUGAAGGCCUUCGGGUUGUAAAACUCUUUUGGCGGGGACGAUAAUGACGGUACCCGCAGAAUAAGCUCCGGCUAACUUCGUGCCAGCAGCCGCGGUAA